rnacentral:rRNA from 1 species
UACGUAGGGUGCGAGCGUUAAUCGGAAUUACUGGGCGUAAAGCGUGCGCAGGCGGUUUGUUAAGACAGAUGUGAAAUCCCCGGGCUUAACCUGGGAACUGCAUUUGUGACUGGCAAGCUAGAGUAUGGCAGAGGGGGGGUAGAAUUCCACGUGUAGCAGUGAAAUGCGUAGAGAUGUGGAGGAAUACCGAUGGCGAAGGCAGCCCCCUGGGCCAAUACUGACGCUCAUGCACGAA